rnacentral:lncRNA from 1 species
AGCAGUCAAAGAAUGUCCUUGCAUGUUUGAUGUGAUAAGCAGACAAUAAAGAAAUCUACUUGGCUUGAAACUACAGUUGCCUCUAGGACAUGAAGAUGACCUUCAGCCAACAGCCAACAAGACUUUGAAGCUUUCAUUCACGUAUUCACAAGGAAAUGAAUUCUGCCAACUACUUGAAUUAACUUGGAAGUAGAUUCUUCCUCAAUGGUGCCUCCAGAUGAGAAUACAGUGGGCCUGGCAACUUGAGUUCAGCCUGACCCUGUACAGAACACUGAUUUACCCAUGCCCAGAUUUAUCUGAUCAACAGAAACUAUGAGGGACUUCAAAUACGUGACAAUAGAGACAAAUGAAUGAGGAAAAGAAAUACAAAAAUAUACCUUUUAUCAUGAGGAUUAUUCUUUCCUGAAGGACGCGUGAGACAUUUGGUGCAGAAGACCUGGGUCAGAGGGACUCCUUCGGGAGACCAGUCUCCUGUCCUCAUCCUCACUCCGUGAAGAGAUCCACCUAUGACUUUGGGUCCUCAGACCAACCAGCCCAAGGAACAUCUCACCAAUUUCAAAUUGGGUAAGCGGUCUUUUCACUCUCUUCUCCAGGCUCUCUCGCUACCCUUCAAUCUCCCUGUCCUUCCAAUUCCUGUUCUUUUUCCUCUCUAGUAGAGACAAAGGAGACACAUUUUAUCAGUGGACCCAAAACUCCGGCACAGGUCACGGACUCAGAAAGACAGCCUUCCCUUGGUGUUUAAUCAUUGUGGGGAUGCCUGCCUGAUUAUUCACUCACAUUCCAUUGGUGUCUGAUCACCACGGGGACGCCUGCCUUGGUCAUUCACUCACAUUCCCAUGGUGAUCUCCUCAGCUUAGCAGUUGAAGACUGAUGCUGCCUGAUCACCUCAGAAGCCCCCUGGACCAUCAAGGAUGCCGAGCUUCAAGUAACUCUUACAGUGGAGGAUGUACUUGCUUCCUCUUUGCCUUUCAUCAUGAUUGUAAGUUUCCUGAGGUCUCCCAGCCAUGCUUCCUGUACAGCCUACAGAACUGUAAGUCAAUUAAACCUCUUUUCUACAUAAAUUACCCAGUCUCAGGUAGCUCUUUAUAGCAGUGUGAGAACGGACUAAUGCAUUCAGUGAACUUAAAACAGAAUUACCAUUAAACUCA